AGUAAUAUAUAGAUAACCUGCCCUCAAGAAAGGAAUAACAGUUGGAAACGACUGCUAAUGCCCUAUAUGCCUUUAAUACAUAAGUAUGCAAGGGAAACGCUUUAGUGCUUGAGGAUGGGUCUGUAUGGUAUCAGCUUGUUGGUGAGGUAAUGGCUCACCAAGGCUAUGACGCCUAACUGGUUUGAGAGGAUGAUCAGUCACACUGGAACUGAGACACGGUCCAGACUCC
rnacentral:rRNA from 1 species